rnacentral:rRNA from 1 species
AGUGAACGCUGGCGGCAGGCCUAACACAUGCAAGUCGAGCGGAUGAAGGGAGCUUGCUCCUGGAUUCAGCGGCGGACGGGUGAGUAAUGCCUAGGAAUCUGCCUGGUAGUGGGGGAUAACGUCCGGAAACGGGCGCUAAUACCGCAUACGUCCUGAGGGAGAAAGGGGGGGAUCUUCGGACCUCACGCUAUCAGAUGAGCCUAGGUCGGAUUAGCUAGUUGGUGGGGUAAAGGCCUACCAGGGCGACGAUCCGUAACUGGGCUGAGAGGAUGAUCAGUCACACUGGAACUGAGACACAGUCCAGACUCCUACGGGAGGCAGCGGUGGGGAAUAUUGGACAAUGGGCGAAAGCCUGAUACAGCCCUGCCGCGUGUGUGAAGAAGGUCUUAGGAUUGUAAAGCGCUUUAAGUUGGGAGGAAGGGAAGUACGUUAAUACCUUGCUGUUUUGACGUUACCAACAGAAUAAGCACCGGCUAAAUUCGUG